AUCCCUAAUCAUAUGCUCAUAAUUACGCCGUCAUUAUGCCCAUUAUUGUCCAAUAACACUAGUCCUCAACAAAUUGAUUUUUUCUUCCUUCAUCCAUUUAGUAUAUACGGCAACAGUUAUUGAAAGUAUAGGUAUAAUACAUAUUAAAGGUUGAAGCUUAAAGGGGCUAUAUUACCUGGUGGUAGAUCUCGUGCCAAUGGCGCAACAGGUAAAGCAUCUCGACCUAGUUUUUCUUUUCUUUUCAAAAAUAAUUAUGUAUUAAAACUGAUAAACCCUACUAACUUAUUUCUAAUACAUGGGGCUAAUGACAUAGGGUUUUAAAUAAAUGAUCACUUUAGCCCAUUAACUGUCAAUUAUCUACAAUUACCCAUCAAUUAAUUAACUCAAGUUAAAUGAAUAAUCCAAAUUUCCAAAAAUGACCUUUCGGGUCAUUACA
rnacentral:lncRNA from 1 species